AGAGUUUGAUCAUGGCUCAGAUUGAACGCUGGCGGCAUGCCUUACACAUGCAAGUCGAACGGCAGCACGGGUGCUUGCACCUGGUGGCGAGUGGCGAACGGGUGAGUAAUAUAUCGGAACGUACCUUAUUGUGGGGGAUAACGCAGCGAAAGCUGUGCUAAUACCGCAUAAUCCCUAAGGGGGAAAGCAGGGGACCGUAAGGCCUUGCGCAAUUAGAGCGGCCGAUACCUGAUUAGCUAGUUGGUGAGGUAAAGGCUCACCAAGGCAACGAUCAGUAGCUGGUCUGAGAGGACGAUCAGCCACACUGGGACUGAGACACGGCCCAGACUCCUACGGGAGGCAGCAGUGGGGAAUUUUGGACAAUGGGGGAAACCCUGAUCCAGCAAUGCCGCGUGAGUGAAGAAGGCCUUCGGGUUGUAAAGCUCUUUUGUCAGGGAAGAAACAGCAGCUCUAACACAGUUUGCGAAUGACGGUACCUGAAGAAUAAGCACCGGCUAACUACGUGACGGCAGCCGCGGUAAU
rnacentral:rRNA from 1 species